rnacentral:rRNA from 1 species
UACGUAGGGGGCAAGCGUUGUCCGGAUUUAUUGGGCGUAAAGAGCGUGUAGGCGGCUGGGUAGGUCCGUUGUGAAAACUCGAGGCUCAACCUCGAGACGCCGAUGGAAACCCUCCAGCUAGAGUCCGGAAGAGGAGAGUGGAAUUCCUGGUGUAGCGGUGAAAUGCGUAGAUAUCGGGAGGAACACCUGUGGCGAAAGCGGCGCACUGGACCACUUCUGACGCUGAGGCGCGAAAGCUAGGGGAGCAAACAGG